rnacentral:rRNA from 1 species
AACGAACGCUGGCGGCAUGCCUAACACAUGCAAGUCGAACGAGACCUUCGGGUCUAGUGGCGCACGGGUGCGUAACGCGGGGGAACCUGCCCUUAGGUUCGGAAUAACUCCCCGAAAGGGGUGCUAAUACCGGAUAAUGUCUUCGGACCAAAGAUUUAUCGCGUUUGGAUGGGCCCGCGUUGGAUUAGCUAGUUGGUAGGGUAAAAGCCUACCAAGGCGACGAUCCAUAGCUGGUCUGAGAGGAUGAGCAGCCACACUGGGACUGAGACACGGCCCAGACUCUUACGGGAGGCAGCAGUGGGGAAUAUUGGACAAUGGGCGGAAGCCUGAUCCAGCAAUGCCGCGUGAGUGAUGAAGGCCUUAGGGUUGUAAAGCUCUUUUACCCGGGAUGAUAAUGACAGUACCGGGAGAAUAAGCAUCGGCUAACUCCGUG